GACGAACGCUGGCGGCGUGCUUAACACAUGCAAGUCGAACGGAAAGUCCCUGCUUUUGUGGGGGGCUCGAGUGGCGAACGGGUGAGUAACACGUGAGUAACCUGCCCUUGACUUUGGGAUAACUUCAGGAAACUGGGGCUAAUACCGGAUAGGAGCUCCUGCUGCAUGGUGGGGGUUGGAAAGUUUCGGCGGUUGGGGAUGGACUCGCGGCUUAUCAGCUUGUUGGUGGGGUAGUGGCUUACCAAGGCUUUGACGGGUAGCCGGCCUGAGAGGGUGACCGGCCACAUUGGGACUGAGAUGCGGCCCAGACUCCUACGGGAGGCAGCAGUGGGGUAUAUUGCACAAUGGGCGGAAGCCUGAUGCAGCAACGCCGCGUGCGGGAUGACGGCCUUCGGGUUGUAAUCCGCUUUCGCCUGUGACGAAGCGUGAGUGACGGUAAUGGGUAAAGAAGCACCGGCUAACUACGUG
rnacentral:rRNA from 1 species